GACGAACGCUGGCGGCGUGCUUAACACAUGCAAGUCGAACGAUGAACCAGGAGCUUGCUCUUGGGGAUUAGUGGCGAACGGGUGAGUAACACGUGAGUAACCUGCCCUUGACUCUGGGAUAACCUCCGGAAACGGAAGCUAAUACCGGAUACGAACUGCGAAGGCAUCUUCAGCAGUUGGAAAGAACUUCGGUCAAGGAUGGACUCGCGGCCUAUCAGGUAGUUGGUGAGGUAAAGGCUCACCAAGCCUACGACGGGUAGCCGGCCUGAGAGGGUGACCGGCCACACUGGGACUGAGACACGGCCCAGACUCCUACGGGAGGCAGCAGUGGGGAAUAUUGCACAAUGGGCGCAAGCCUGAUGCAGCAACGCCGCGUGAGGGAUGACGGCCUUCGGGUUGUAAACCUCUUUUAGUAGGGAAGAAGCGAAAGUGACG
rnacentral:rRNA from 1 species